UUUGUACUCCCUCCGUCCGAAAUUACUUGUCGCGGAAAUGGACAGAAAUGAAUGUAUUUAGAACUAAAAUACAUCUAGAUACAUCCAGUCCUGAGACAAGUAAUUUCGGACGGAGGGAGUAGUAA
rfam:Triticum aestivum genome assembly, contig: Triticum_aestivum_CS42_TGACv1_scaffold_146603_2BS